rnacentral:rRNA from 1 species
GACGAACGCUGGCGGCGUGCCUAAUACAUGCAAGUAGGACGCACAGUUUAUACCGUAGCUUGCUACACCAUAGACUGUGAGUUGCGAACGGGUGAGUAACGCGUAGGUAACCUGCCUAUUAGAGGGGGAUAACUAUUGGAAACGAUAGCUAAUACCGCAUAACAGUAUGUAACACAUGUUAGAUGCUUGAAAGAUGCAAUUGCAUCGCUAGUAGAUGGACCUGCGUUGUAUUAGCUAGUAGGUAGGGUAAAGGCCUACCUAGGCAACGAUACAUAGCCGACCUGAGAGGGUGAUCGGCCACACUGGGACUGAGACACGGCCCAGACUCCUACGGGAGGCAGCAGUAGGGAAUCUUCGGCAAUGGGGGGAACCCUGACCGAGCAACGCCGCGUGAGUGAAGAAGGUUUUCGGAUCGUAAAGCUCUGUUGUUAAGGAAGAACGAGUGUGAGAAUGGAAAGUUCAUACUGUGACGGUAUUUAACCAGAAAGGGACGGCUAACUACGUGCCAGCAGCCGCGGUAAUACGUAGGUCCCGAGCGUUGUCCGGAUUUAUUGGGCGUAAAGCGAGCGCAGGCGGUUAGAAAAGUCUGAAGUGAAAGGCAGUGGCUCAACCAUUGUAGGCUUUGGAAACUGUUUAACUUGAGUGCAGAAGGGGAGAGUGGAAUUCCAUGUGUAGCGGUGAAAUGCGUAGAUAUAUGGAGGAACACCGGUGGCGAAAGCGGCUCUCUGGUCUGUAACUGACGCUGAGGCUCGAAAGCGUGGGGAGCGAACAGG